UGGUGUUCAGAUUGCUGUUAUGUACAAUUACUGAAAAGUAGCAUCUCCGGUCCAGAGCAACUUUUAAUCCACACUCCAGUGAAUGAGCGAGUCAACUUCUCCCUCACCAACUUCUUUUUUUUUAUUUUCUGUUUUUUUGGGGGGUUUUUUAUGAAGUCUUCUUAAAUCCAGAAACACUUUGUUCUACAAGUUGGUUUUGUUGGCGUACCUGAUGAGGAGAGCAGGUGACAGUGUUGGAGUGAAAAUGAUGAGCGACCGUUACAGUGGCACGGCCUCCAUUCCAACUUUGACAGGUUGGGUUGAGGUUGAGGCCCCACAAUGAUCCCAAGAAGAGGGUCAACUGUUGAAGUCUUUGUCUACUCAGCCAGUGAACCGUCCCAUCUGACCAGAGACAUUUGUCCUGGCUGCAGUUUAAAAAUCUAACAAAUAAUAUUUUAACUGUCCCACAAUGGAAAUUAACUUUCUAUAUCUGUAAAUGGUUGAUAGGUUUUUUGAUGAAAAUGAAAGACUAAACAAUUAUAACACCGUCAAAACUCUAUCUAGGCCUGUAUAUAUUAAAACCAAAGCUCCUCCACAAUCAUUGUUUACUUUAAGUAACUAGCAUAUAUCUAAGGGCCACGGUAAGAUGUUUCAGCAGCACAACACAUGAAUAUUAUGCAUUUAUGCACUGCAAAUAUUUCUGUGACAAUAAACAAAAGUGUGAAAAAAAAUGGA